CUGUUUCGAUGCACCCUUUCUUUCCCUGACAAGGCAGAUACUAUACAUGAAUGUUUGCCUAGUGGCUAUUUCCCCCCAGAAUGCAAUUUUACUAAAGCAUUUCCUUUGGAUGUGGGUGAAGAAAGGAGGGACAGUGUUGGACACGUGUAAAAACCCCAACACAGAAGGCAAUACUGCUCACAAAAAGAACCUUGACAAUAGACUCCACCUCGAAACAGCUGCUCUCCUCCGUGUGAUGAUCGCAGCAUAUUUUCCCUGACAGACGUGGAGUCUGCAGCCAGCAGUGCUCAGGAAGGCACAAGCGCGACGUCGGGACCUGCCUUCACGGCUCCAGGCUGGGUAAGGAAGUAGGCUCUGGGAGAUACAACAGUUUUUUGGAUGCCACUCUUCUGAUAUGUGACAUAGAAUAAAUCACUUAAUUUACUAAAUCCAACUUCCUAUGUAACAUAAGAGGUAUUCUGAAGGAUCUCCAAAGCACUGCAGGCUUUGCAGACUUGCACCAUGACUGAGACACUCCCUUGCCACAGAGAACAAGGCAAGAAGGAGCUAGCCUGGAGAAGAAGCAUUUGAAAGAAUGGUAGCACUAGCUCAUAACACAGUUUCACCUAGGAAAGAGCACAGCAUGGCAGGGGACGAGUGCCAGGCAGUGGGACUGAGGGGCACAUGCUGGAACUCAAGAGGGAGAUGGGCGGGAACUUCAUGCCUUGACCGAAUUUGCGCUGGGUUAUGCUGCAGUCAGAGAGAGCUGUUGGAGACAUUCAAGCUGGAGAAUGACAAAAUUCUGCUUUGUGCUUUCCAAGGGUCAUUCCAGUCCCAUUGGCAGAAAGAGCAUAACGUGUGUCUGACAGGUGGUUUUCAUAGUUGUCUAAACUAAAAUAACAGGGGAAGUAGAGAGUAGUUGGGUUCUGGGAGGAAGCAUCAGCAGAACUUGGAGAUGCUUUAGGUCAGUCCUCUGGAUUUAUAUCUUAAAUCCAUCAUUGUCCCCAAUGCCACAGUUGCUUGGCUGGGCCUCUGUCACCUUGCACUAGAGUUCUGCUGCUACUACUGCAUCUGUGACCUUGUGUUCUUACUUUGGAAGGCAUCCUUUAUUUAACAGCUAGAUUUAGCUUUCUAAAAUGCCAUGCUACACAUAUAAUCUCAUUCUCAACACUUUGACAAAGUUUGCCCAUGGCUUACCAAAUCAAACCCAACUUCUUUAGUCUGGCACCUGAGGCCCUUUGGAAUCUAAAGGGCUUAGACUUUAGUGCUUUGUCCAUUUAAUACAGGGCCCAUUGAUGAAAAGCACUUCUCCAUGAUGUGAGGACAAUCUGGCUGCGACAUCUGUCACCCCGUUGACUGUCAGGGAUGAUUUGGUUGACCUGGCUGGCGAGGCAGGUAUCACCUUUCUCUUUCAAUGUUCCGUGUACGUCCCUCCCUAGAAGCUGCAUGCUUGGUCAAAGAGAAUGCCAACCCUCAAUAGAGGAGGACAGUUCCUCAGUCAAGGAUAGAGGCGUAGCUGUGCUCCCAUGUUAGAACCUCCAAACAAGCUCCCAAAAGAACUCCGCCAGCAUCCCUGAUCACUAGCUGCUUGCUGUGAGCAUUUCUGUUGCCUCACCCCUCUCCAUUCUGCUGCAUGUGUACAUGUCAUUUCUUCUUUGUCCAGGAUCAGAACUUGUUUCUUGGAAUAAUGAAGCUUUUCUUGUGCCUUUAGCUUGUGAGAAACAAAGUUAGCAUUGUCUCCCACCUCUGAGAACUUCGGUAUACUCUGCCAUCAACUGCUAGCAAUUUUUUACCUGACACUGAAAGCAGAAAUCUUAUUUCCUGUGGAGAGGGUUCUCACUGUGCAGAAUUUGUUGUUGAUGAUGUUGUCAAUUAUCUUGUGCUUGCUCCACUCAGAGUGGUAAUGAGGCCUGGGUGACAGGGAGAUGGAAAGGCAGGGGUGGGGAAGGUUCUCAGGCCACAGAAAGGAAAAUCAGAAGGGCCUGACAUGCAGCUCAAAGCUGUUAUGCAAGAGGGAGGUGACUUCCAGCUUCAUCUAACAUACAGCAGAACUAUGAGUUACUCAGGGACAGGCUUCCUUCUGUCUCUUCAAGAUUGCAGUUACUCAUUAAGCACAGUACAGGAGACGCAGAGUCUGUUUUAAGGUGUGGACCAUAGGGCUGAGAAAAGGUGAGGUGAAGACAAGCACAUUAACAAAUCCUGAUAGCAUAAGAGAGCAGGUACAGUGAAAGAAAAAUAUGCAACAGCAGUAGUUCAGAGGAGGAUGAUGCUGCCUGGAGCAGGUUUUCAUUGCUGUGCACUCACUGGGGCUGCAGCUUGGGUGAAGAGAACCUCUCUCAUCCCACCAUGGCUUUUCCAUAUAUUAUUUCACUGCUGUCAGCCCCUUGUACCUUGCUCUAACAGUCUGGGCUCUAGUCACAUCAACCUAGAUUGUAUCUUCCAACCAAGCCUCUCAUCCUGUGUGCUUACUUGGUACCACAGGGCCAAGUAAUCUUUAAAAUGCACAUCAAUCACUGCAAUAUCUUCAGGUCUGCUUCAGGAAGUUGCCAUGAGCUCUGAGGUUCUGCUUUUCCAACUAGGUCCUGGGAGAUGCCAAUGCUGCUGCUCCCUCCUCAAGCUAAACUUAGAGUAGCAAGAUUCCUGCUGCUUCCCUGAGAUGCCUCCGACCUAGUGCUACCCUUUGUGAUGCAUGAGUGGAGUGAAGUGCCUUCCCUGUAGGUUACCCUCUCAGGUCAGGUCUGGCUGUUAUCAGUGUUUUGUUCUCUCUCUUGGCCAGCAAGUAUUGCUCUCCCAGUCAUCUCUUCCAACCAGCAUAGGUUCCUGGAGGGAAGAGCUUGGUCCAUUUCACCUACACCCCAGGCAGCGGCAUCUGUUGCUGAGUUGAGCCUUAAUAUAUAUUUGAUUGAGUGAAUCUGAACUGAACUUGCAUAUGGGUGAAGUAUGUGUGUAU